UACGUAGGGGGCGAGCGUUGUCCGGAUUUAUUGGGCGUAAAGAGCUCGUAGGCGGUUCGAUAAGUCGGACGUGAAAUCUCCACGCUCAACGUGGAGGGGCCGUUCGAUACUGUCGUGACUCGAGUCCGGUAGGGGAGUGUGGAAUUCCCGGUGUAGCGGUGAAAUGCGCAGAGAUCGGGAGGAACACCCGUAGCGAAGGCGGCACUCUGGGCCGGUACUGACGCUGAGGCGCGAAAGCGUGGGGAGCAAACAGG
rnacentral:rRNA from 1 species